rnacentral:rRNA from 1 species
UACGGAGGGUGCAAGCGUUAUCCGGAUUCACUGGGUUUAAAGGGUGCGUAGGUGGGUCUGUAAGUCAGUGGUGAAAUCUCCAAGCUUAACUUGGAAACUGCCGUUGAUACUAUAAAUCUUGAAUGUUGUGGAGGUGAGCGGAAUAUGUCAUGUAGCGGUGAAAUGCUUAGAUAUGACAUAGAACACCAAUUGCGAAGGCAGCUCACUACACAAAGAGUGACACUGAGGCACGAAAGCGUGGGGAUCAAACAGG